GUGACACCUACUCCUGGAGCCACACCUGGGGUAACAUCCAAGCUACUGCAACCAAGCAAUUAUUGGUCAGAACCCAGGUGCAUCAGGACUUAAAGGUAUCUGCAUCCAGGGCAGCUCCCAAAAUAACACCUCUCCAAUAACACAUCCUUAAAAAAGAAUAUCCAGUAAUCCAAAAUAAAAUUCUAAUAGGUUAUCCAAAAAAACUUCCAGUAGGGAUUUCCAGUUUGCUGUUCACACAUACUCUGCAAACUGUAAUUCCCACCAAGGGACAAACACUAGAGAUGAUGGAUCAAAGCUCUUAGGUAAUUUUAGUUAAAGUCAUGAAUGCCCUGUUACAAAAAACCAAUCAAUUGUGAUUCUAAUAACUGCCUAUAAACAGUCUGCCAACAUAUCUUGCCUGGAGUGUUAAAUGCUGUCACCCAGGAUUUCUAUAUCAUGCACUUCAACAACUCACUCCAGAAGGGAAAAGAAAAAAAGAGAGAGAUGAGUCCUGGUGUAGCUCCAGCCUGUGUUCUGUAGAUUCUCAGGGCCAGCCCCCAAUCUUGAGCAAAUCCCAGAUUCCAUAGGCCCCCCCAGACCCCCUAACUGAAGCCCAAAUCCUAUGACUUCCUAACACCCUCCCACUGAGACAUGCCAUGGUUCACCUCCAUGAGGAAGCAGCCGAGCUGGUUUAACUGCAGGUGGGUGGCCAGUGGUCUCUGACAAAGGGCAUUGACCUCACCUGCACAGAGGAGCAUGGACCAGGUACACCUGG
rnacentral:lncRNA from 1 species